CUGCAGGAACAUUGUUUUAUGGAUAAGCUUGUCAACCAAAAAGUCACAAAAUCUGCCAGAUACUAAGAGGAGGAAGAAAAUGGACAAAGACAAACAUACAGAAAGGACCAAUGCUAUGGAUAUUAUGAACAGCAACCUCAAUUUCUGUCAUGACUACAAGGAAUGGACAGCAUUAAUAAAAUGUAACCUUGUCAUUAUUUAAUGACAACAUUAAGAAUCUAUCAACAUGAUUUAACAGAUCUAUAUGUUAAAGGAGAAAAAGAUAUGUGGAUGCUAUCAAUAGUAGCUGAAAAGCAUUUUCAGAAAUCUGUAAGUAGAGGAAAUGUAUUCAUAUGUUUCUAUGUUCUAGAAUAGAUAUUUUGACUAGACAAAAGUUGAAAUCUUGUGUCUUAUGUUUUUAUUUAAAUGAUAGACUCAAUACGUAAGUAGUCACAAGACAUAUGAUAUUGUCUGGAUCUGUGUCUCUGCUCAAAUCUCAUGUUGAAUUGGAAUCCCCAGCGUUGGAGGUAGGGCCUGCUGGGAAGUGAUUGAAUCAUUGGGGUGGAUCCUUCAUAAAUAUUUUAGCACCAUCCCUUUGGUGCUGUUCUCGUGAUAGAGUUCUCACAAGAUCUGGUUGUUUAAAAGUGUGUGGCACCUCCCCAUCCUCUGUCUCUGGUCAUGUAAGAUGUAUCUGCUUCCCCUUUGCUUCCACCAUGAUCAAAAGUUUCCUGAGGCCCCCCUGGAAGCUGAGUAGCUGCGGCCAUGCUUCCUGUAGUCUGUGGAACUGUGAAACAAUUAAAACUUUUUCCUUUAUAAAUUACCCAGUCUCAGAUAUUUCUUUAUAGGGGGGCAAGAAUGAACAAAUACAACACAUGAAAGAGAAGGGUGGAAAUGC
rnacentral:lncRNA from 1 species